rnacentral:rRNA from 1 species
CAGUAGCCGCGGGAAUACAGAGGGUGCGAGCGUUAAUCGGAAUUACUGGGCGUAAAGGGCGCGUAGGCGGUUAGGAAGGUGUGAUGUGAAAGCCCUGGGCUUAACCUAGGAAGUGCAUCGCAAACCAACUAGCUGGAGUAUAAGAGAGGGUGGCGGAAUUUCCGGUGUAGCGGUGAAAUGCGUAGAGAUCGGAAGGAACGUCAAUGGCGAAGGCAGCCACCUGGCUUAAUACUGACGCUGAGGCGCGAAAGCGUGGGGAGCGAACAGGAUUAGAUACCCGUGUAGUCCCUGUCUCUUAUAC